CCUACGGGAGGCAGCAGUGAGGAAUAUUGGUCAAUGGACGGAAGUCUGAACCAGCCAUGCCGCGUGCAGGAAGACGGCUCUAUGAGUUGUAAACUGCUUUUGUACAAGAGUAAACCUGAAUACGUGUAUUCAGCUGAGAGUACUGUACGAAUAAGGAUCGGCUAACUCCGUGCCAGCAGCCGCGGUAAUACGGAGGAUCCAAGCGUUAUCCGGAUUUAUUGGGUUUAAAGGGUGCGUAGGCGGAUGUAUAAGUUAGAGGUGAAAUGUCCGGGCUUAACUCGGGAACUGCCUUUAAUACUGUUGAUCUAGAGAGUAGAUGCGGUAGGCGGAAUGUAUGGUGUAGCGGUGAAAUGCU
rnacentral:rRNA from 1 species